AUGAUGGUUGGCCUCCCACGUAAAACAAAGGUACUCUCUUCUUCCUCACAAAACGCAACAGCGGCCGUGAAAUCAUCCUCUCCGGUCAUCUUUCCGACGAUUCUUCCUCAGUGCCACUGUCAUCGGUCCUUCUCCGAUUUGCUUUCGUCAAACUCCGACGUCUCAACCUUCUUCACGAAUCUCCAUCUCAACUCUCGCUUCAAGCCUUUCGCUCAACCUAUUAAAUCCGUUCAAUCCUCAACUGUCCUCAAUCAUCUUAUCUCUUGGCGGAUUCGACUCGUGGAUAGCAAGAAAAAUGGCGCAAGAACACCUUACCUGUCGCAGUGGCUCCGAGGGCGUUUCGAAGGCAGUAGCUAA